rnacentral:tRNA from 1 species
GGCUUCGUAGUUCAUCUAGUAGAGCGCUUGCCGCUUCGAGGCAUGGUGUUUCUGUUGCUGGUUCGAAUCCAGCCGAAGACC